AACGAACGCUGGCGGCAGGCUUAACACAUGCAAGUCGAACGCCCCGCAAGGGGAGUGGCAGACGGGUGAGUAACGCGUGGGAACGUGCCCUUCGCUUCGGAGUAGCCCCGGGAAACUGGGAGUAAUACCGAAUACGCCGUAUUGGGAAAGAUUUAUCGGCGAAGGAUCGGCCCGCGUUAGAUUAGCUAGUUGGCGGUGUAAUGGACCACCAAGGCUACGAUCUAUAGCUGGUCUGAGAGGAUGAUCAGCCACACUGGGACUGAGACACGGCCCAGACUCCUACGGGAGGCAGCAGUGGGGAAUCUUGGACGAUGGGCGCAAGCCUGAUCCAGCCAUGCCGCGUGAGUGAAGAAGGCCUUAGGGCUGUAAAACUCUUUCGCCGGAGAAGAUAAUGACGGUAUCCGGAGAAGAAGCCCCGGCUAACUUCGUGCCAGCCGCCGCAGUAAUAC
rnacentral:rRNA from 1 species